GAUGAAGAACGUAGCGAAAUGCGAUAAGUAGUGUGAAUUGCAGAAUUCAGUGAAUCAUCGAAUCUUUGAACGCACAUUGCGCCCCAUGGUAUUCCGGGGGGCAUGCCUGUCCGAGCGUCAUUACAACCCUCAAGCUCAGCUUGGUGUUGGGCCCCGCCGCCCCGGCGGGCCCUAAAGUCAGUGGCGGUGCCGUCCGGCUCCGAGCGUAGUAAUUCUUCUCGCUCUGGAGGUCCGGUCGUGUGCUCGCCAGCAACCCCCAAUUUUUUUCAGGUUGACCUCGGAUCAGGUAGGGAUACCCGCUGAACUUAAGCAUAUCAAUAAGCGGAGGA
rnacentral:misc_RNA from 1 species